rnacentral:rRNA from 1 species
AAAGGAAUUGGCGGGGGAGCACUACAACCGGAGGAGCCUGCGGUUUAAUUGGACUCAACGCCGGAAAUCUCACCAGCCCCGACAUCAGUAAUGACGGUCAUGUUGACGACAUCUGCCCGAGCUGAUGAGAGGAGGUGCAUGGCCGCCGUCAGCUCGUACCGUGAGGCAUCCUGUUAAGUCAGGCAACGAGCGAGAUCCACGUCCCUAAUUGCCAGCACCACCGCACGGUGGGUGGGUACAUUAGGGAGACUGCCAGUGCUAAACUGGAGGAAGGAAUGGGCAACGGUAGGUCAGUAUGCCCCGAAUGGGCUGGGCAACACGCGGGCUACAAUGGGCAGGACAAUGGGUUCCAACACCGAGAGGUGACGGUAAUCUCAGAAACCUGCUCGUAGUUCGGAUUGCGGACUGAAACUCGUCCGCAUGAAGCUGGAUUCGGUAGUAAUCGCGUGUCAGCAGCGCGCGGUGAAUACGUCCCUGCUCCUUGCACACACCGCCCGUCAAAGCACCCGAGUGAGGUCCGGAUGAGGCCACAUUUCGUGGUCGAAUCUGGGCUUCGCAAGGGGGCUUAAGUCGUAACAAGGUAACCGUAA